GCUGGUGUUGCUCAAUGGUUAGAGCAUCAGCCCAUGCACUGUAGGGUCAUGGGUUUGAUUCCCGUCAAGGGCA
rnacentral:tRNA from 1 species